rnacentral:lncRNA from 1 species
UAUCUUUCUUCGCUUUCAAUUUCCCAUAGAAAUUUCUCAUUUGAAACCAUAAAAUCCACUGAGAAGGGAUCAACUGGAAAUGUGUGGAGGUGUCACAAUUCCAGACACCAUAAAGCCGAACCCCAACAUCGCGUCGAUUGAUUGUCGAUUUGCUCUGGGGCUGUGCAGCUGCCAAUUUGAACAAGAAGAAGAUCCUGCUGAACUAUAACUCGAAGGAUUUGAUAUUUACUUUCGACUUUGAUUUCGAUGAUGAUUCGAGGCUGAAUCUGAGUGCUUCAAACACUACUCCUUUGACGAAGAGGAGACUGAUGGAAAGUCCUUACAUUUUUCUGGUUCCAAGCAAUACAUCCUCCGCAGUAAUAUUUAUAUUUAUGUAUAAAUGUUAAUUUUGUUGAUUUUUUUGUUAUUUUUGUAGGAUAUUAUAUUCAUUGUAACUCCUCACUGUUUGUUAUUGGUGUAAAUCUAUUGUCGUGGAAUUAUAAUAAUAAGAUGGUUAAUUAAAGAAAUUUUGUCUAAAUCUCUCAUCUUACAAGUUACUAAUUUAUUCUUUUUGUACGCCUAACAUAUGGAUGUAAAUGAAACAAUGGGGUUAAAAUAUCUGAAAGCUUUGUUCAAUUUCUCAAACCUAUGUAGGCGUUUAGUUCAGAUUCUACUUCCUCAAUUUGUUUUGCAAUUUUGUUGCUUCAAACAUUGAUCUGAAAGAUUCUCUACCUAUUUUCUCUUUAAGGUUGUAAAUCCGUCAAAUCUAUUGUAUCUGAGUAGAUUUUCAGAACUCCUCAAAGAGAAAGAGGACGGAUCAAUACAGAGGAAUCCGCUAAUGCUCAUGGGAUAAAUGGGCUGCUGAGAUAUGUGAUCCAACAAAAGAGGUCAGGGUUUGGCUUGGAACUAUUAACAGUGCUGAGGAAGCUGCAAGAGCUUAUGACACUAAAGCUCGGAGGAUCAGAGGGAAUGAAGCUAAGGCGAAUUUUCCCGAAGAAGUUGCUGUUAAAAUACCAAACUCUCAACUCUUUCAAUUGAUGUAAGAUCAGCAGUGCCAAUGGCAGAAACAAUUAAUCCAAAGUGACAAUCAGGAUCAGCAGGAAGGAAACCGUCUUCUGGAAGAUACGAGAGAGAACGGUGAUAUAGGAUAGAAGAAUAUUCUGCAAGUAAGCCAAAUGGGAUCAUUUUCUGUUACUGUUAGCAUCUAUAUGGUUAUAUGAUUUUUCAGUUGCCAAACAGAUUUAGUUUGUUUUGUAUAGCUUGUGGCACAAAUUCUAGAUUUUUCUUACUGAUUCUAUAUAUAAUCGAUAGUACAGAUUUAU